CGACUCGCGUGACCGAUUUCCCUUGGUGUUUAGAUGUGGAUGUGGUCUCUAGCACCAUUAGAAAUCGGUUAUGCGGGCG
rnacentral:pre_miRNA from 1 species